GACGAACGCUGGCGGCGUGCUUAACACAUGCAAGUCGAACGGGCCUGUCUUCUUUUUUGGGGGGUGGGUUGAGUGGCGAACGGGUGAGUAUCACGUGAGUAACCUGCCCUUCGGUCCUGGAUAACCGCUUGAAAGGGCGGCUAAUACGGGGUGGUCCGGUUGGUCCGCAUGGGCUGGUCGGGAUAGAUUCACUGUUUUUGGUGUUUCGGCGGGGGAUGGGCUCGCGGCCUAUCAGCUUGUUGGGGGGGUGAUGGCCUACCAAGGCGGUGACGGGUAGCCGGCCUGAGAGGGUGGGCGGCCACACUGGGACUGAGAUACGGCCCAGACUCCUGCGGGAGGCAGCGGUGGGGGGUAUUGCACAAUGGGCGGAAGCCUGAUGCAGCGACGUCGCGUGAGGGAUGGAGGCCUUCGGGUUGUGAACCUCUGUUUCCGGUGGUGAAGGCCCUGUCCGUGUGGUGGGGUUGACGGUAGCCGGGGAUGAAGCGCCGGCUAACUACGUG
rnacentral:rRNA from 1 species